GUGCCAGCCGCCGCGGUAAUACCAGCUCCGCGAGUGGUCGGGGUGCUUACUGGGCCUAAAGCGCCCGUAGCCGGCCCGGUAAGUCGUCCCUGAAAUCCACGGGCUCAACCCGUGGGCUGGGGACGAUACUGCCGGGCUUGGGGGCGGGAGAGGCCGAGGGUACUCCCGGGGUAGGGGCGAAAUCCGAUAAUCCCGGGAGGACCACCAGUGGCGAAGGCGCUCGGCUGGAACGCGCCCGACGGUGAGGGGCGAAAGCCGGGGGAGCGAACCGGAUUAGAUACCCGGGUAGUCCCGGCUGUAAACUAUGCGGGCCAGGUGUCGGGCGGGCGUUAGAGCCCGCCCGGUGCCGCAGGGAAGCCGUUAAGCCCGCCGCCUGGGGAGUACGGCCGCAAGGCUGAAACUUAAAGGAAUUGGCGGGGGGGCACACAAGGGGUGGAGCCUGCGGCUCAAUUGGAGUCAACGCCGGGAACCUCUACCGGGGGCGACAGCAGGAUGACGGCCAGGCUAACGACCUUGCCCGACGCGCUGAGGGGAGGUGCAUGGCCGUCGCCAGCUCGUGCUGUGAAGUGUCUUGUUAAGUCAGGCAACGAGCGAGACCCCCGCCCCUAGUUGCGACCCUGCGGGCGACCGCGGGGGCACACUAGGGGGACUGCCGCCGCUAAGGCGGAGGAAGGAGGGGGCCACGGCAGGUCAGCAUGCCCCUAAACCCCCGGGCUGCACGCGGGCUACAAUGGCGGGGACAGCGGGAUCCGACCCCGAAAGGGGGAGGCAAUCCCUGAAACCCCGCCGUAGUUGGGAUCGGGGGCUGAAACUCGCCCCCGUGAACCUGGAAUCCCUAGUAACCGCGCGUCACCAUCGCGCGGUGAAUACGUCCCUGCCCCUUGUACACACCGCCCGUC
rnacentral:rRNA from 1 species